GAGUCUCUAACAGUUUUCAAUAUGGUACGCUGAGUGGUUUCCCACAAACAACCAACAAACUAGGUUUCGAGUUGCUAGUUCGUAUAUACCUCCGCUCUAUGAAGGAAUCGUUUAGCCCAGAUACCAUACAUCAACUAUUAAAGAGUACAAUUGUACCAUACUUACAUAUAACUUUUUGAUUCUUAACUUCUUUAUCAGAGUUAGGGAACUCCGUAUCUUUUAUAACCUGCCGAGAUUCUUCUUUGAAUCUUACCGACACACUAACUCUAUGUGAGUUAGAUCUUAUCCUAAUCACUGCGGUUAUUAGUCUAAG
rnacentral:lncRNA from 1 species